rnacentral:miRNA from 10 species
UGCGUGUGUGCGUGCGUGUGUGUGUGUGUGUGUGUGUGUGUGUUGGUCUCCAUCCUGGCUCCUGGCCAGACC